rnacentral:rRNA from 1 species
GGGCCCGCACAAGCGGUGGAGCAUGUGGUUUAAUUCGAUGAUACGCGAGGAACCUUACCAGGGCUUAAAUGUAGUAUGACCGGUCUAGAAAUAGGCCUUCCCUUCGGGGCAGAUUACAAGGUGCUGCAUGGUUGUCGUCAGCUCGUGCCGUGAGGUGUUAGGUUAAGUCCUGCAACGAGCGCAACCCCUAUUCUUAGUUGCCAGCGGUUCGGCCGGGGACUCUAAGAAGACUGCCAGCGCAAGCUGAGAGGAAGGUGGGGAUGACGUCAAAUCAUCACGGCCCUUACGUCCUGGGCUACACACGUGCUACAAUGGUACAGACAGAGGGCAGCCACCUGGCGACAGGGAGCGAAUCCUUAAAACCGGUCUCAGUUCGGAUCGCAGUCUGCAACUCGACUGCGUGAAGCUGGAAUC